AUUGAACGCUGGCGGCAGGCCUAACACAUGCAAGUCGAACGAGUGGCGGACGGGUGAGUAAUGUAUGGGCAACUGCCUGAUGGAGGGGGAUAACUACUGGAACCGGUAGCUAAUACCGCAUACCAUCAGAUGUGCCCAGGUGGGAUGAGCUGUUUGGUGGGGUAACGGCUCACGAAGGCGACGAUCCCUAGCUGGUCUGAGAGGAUGACCAGCCACACUGGAACUGAGACACGGUCCAGACUCCUACGGGAGGCAGCAGUGGGGAAUGUUGCACAAUGGGCGAAAGCCUGAUGCAGCCAUGCCGCGUGUAUGAAGAAGGCCUUCGGGUUGUAAAGUACUUUCAGCGGGGAGGCGUUACCCGCAGAAGAAGCCCCGGCUAACUCCGUGCCAGCAGCCGCGGUAAUAC
rnacentral:rRNA from 1 species